rnacentral:rRNA from 1 species
UGCCAGCAGCCGCGGUAAUACGGAGGGGGCUAGCGUUGUUCGGAAUUACUGGGCGUAAAGCGCGCGUAGGCGGCUUGCCAAGUUGGGGGUGAAAGCCCGGGGCUUAACCCCGGAACUGCCCUCAAAACUGGCAGGCUUGAGAUCGAGAGAGGAGAGUGGAAUUCCCAGUGUAGAGGUGAAAUUCGUAGAUAUUGGGAAGAACACCAGCGGCGAAGGCGGCUCUCUGGCUCGAUUCUGACGCUGAGGUGCGAAAGCGUGGGGAGCAAACAGGAUUAGAUA